AUUGGGGACUUUACUGAAAGUUUCUAUUCGUCGGAGAAAGAGGGAGGAGCCCCCCGACAGCAAGCUAGGAUGCAAUUAUUUCAAGAUGCGCUGAAUGACUGUUCGCUUGAAGAUAUUGGAUACAAUGGGGACAAGUUUACGUUUUUCAGAGGAGGGCUACGUGAACGUCUAGACCGGGCUGUGUCUAAUGCAGAGUGGAUGGAGAUGCAUCCGUUGUGUGGAUUGAGUAAUCUGGAGAUGGGCAAGUCGGACCAUAGACCAAUUUGCCUAGAUACUGAACACUUGGCCGGAGUGGCUGCGGAUCGGCCCAUGAACAGGCGCAAGUUUGAGGCUCGAUGGUUAGCGGAAGAAGCAGUUGAAGAGAUCGUUAAAACGGCGUGGCUAAAGGCGGUCACUCAAGGCCUAUGUCCUACUGCAAAGGACAAGCUAAACGCCGUCCAUAAAGACCUACAUGCAUGGGAUAGAAAGAUCUUGAAAGGGCCGAGGUAUAGAUUGAGAGCAGCUCAACAAGAGCUUGAGGUGCUUAUGAAACAGCCACAUAAUGCAGAGGUAAAAGCAAAACAACAAGAUCUCACAAUGAUAAUUGAGAAUCUCCUAGAGCAAGAGGAGGUCUAUUGGGCACAACGUCGUCGUGCAAACUGGCUACAGCGUGGUGACCGCAACACAAGGUUUUUUAAUCAGUUUGCCUCAGCUCGUAGAUGUCGUAAUUUAAUUAAGAGAUUGAAAAGCAAUAAUAAUGCUUGGGUUGAGGGUAAUGAUAACCUCAAGCCCUUGAUUCUUGAGUAUUUUCAGAGCCUUUUUCACACUGAUUCAGGGAUGAUUGAUGAUGAUUUUGAAGGAAAUAUGCCCUAG
rnacentral:rRNA from 1 species